rnacentral:sRNA from 1 species
AAAGGAGGCUGACCCCCAAAGGAGAGGAGAAUCUUUAGGGUCUAGAGCUGACAAUGAGAGUUGGGGGAAACAGUUCCUCUUCUGAGCUGGGGAUGGGGUAGAACAGGCUUCUGCAGAGGAGUCAGUCCAUUCUCUGCCUUCCACUCCCUGUGGGUCGUGGUUCAGGCCAGGCCUUCUCCUGCACUGCUGGCUCUGGGCAGAGGGGGUAAGGAGACAACUGAGGGUGCUUCCCCUUAUAUGUCCCUCACAGUUGGGGGCUGUCAGAAGCUCUCAAGGCCCAGCCUUUCCCGGGCUCUUCCAUCCUCCCUUACCUGGUCUCUCCCAGCUGCCUCCCACCCACAGUCAGCAUCCACUGGCGGGUUUACUCUUCUCUCCCAGGGCCCAGGGUCAGAUUUGGGUGUGGCUCAGUGUCUGGAGUAAGGGGUAGGAUCAACUAUACUGAGCCCUGGGCAGUGAACCCUGGGAAUUGAGCACCAGCAGUAGACUCUGUACCCCAGUCCCCCAACUCACUGACUAGUAGUGACAGGAGGUAUAGAACCCCCUGCUGGUUGACCUGCCUGAUGCAGGCAGCUUUCUUCUCCCCUACUUACUUCCCUCAUGUCCCUGCCCCAUUCUGAAGCACUGUACUCUCCUUUUGGGUUUAAUGCCACUGUCUGCUCUAUCUUAAUCAGUCUGGCCUUACUUCCUGGCCUGAGUCAGUCCCUGGCUAGGCCAGAACCCCAGGAAAGGCAGCCUCAAAAAACAUGCUGCUGAGAAGGAGACCAGAACUGGAGUUCCUUAGUUCCCAAGAGCAGUUGCCAGGGCUCUGGGGGUGCCCAGGGCUCUUCCUGGACCCUGGAACACUUCCUGGCAUAUUGGAUGGGGGAGGCUUGUGAGCAGAUCAAGCGUUUCCUGGAGGACACCACGGAUGAUGGAGAACUGAGCAAGUUCGUGAAGGAUUUCUCAGGAAAUGAGAGCUGCCACCCACCAGAGGCUAAGACCCGGGCAUCCAGGCCCCAAGUCCCGGAGCCAAGGCCCCAGGCCCCGGACCUCUAUGAUGAUGACCUGGAGUUCAGACCCCCCUCGUGGCCCCAGUCCUCUGACAACCAGCAGUACUUCUGUGCCCCAGCCCCUCUCAGCCCAUCUGCCAGGCCCCGCAGCCCAUGGGGCAAGCUUGAUCCCUAUGAUUCCUCUGAGGUAGAGCCUCCAGCCCUGCCUUUGCCUUUCAGUGGGCUGCUGCAGGAAGACCAGGGGGCAGGGAGCAGAGUGUGAGUGUGUGUGUGUGUGUGUGUGUGUGUGUUUGUAUCUAGGACCUCUUUCAGUCCUGUGUCAGCCCUAGCUCCAAGAUAUCUGCCCCCAAGGGCACUGGAAAUUUGCAGUUUCAGCAAGGGCAGGAGGCCCAGCUGAUGGCCUCAGAUGGGAACUCACAGAAGUCUGGCACUGCUUUUUUAAGGCUGGGGCAAAGGCCUGAAAGGGAGAGAAGAUUGGCGCUGGGUGCCGGGGCCCCUUUGGCUCCUCACCCUGACGCAUUCUGCCUUCCUGUCUACUAGGAUGACAAGGAGUAUGUGGGCUUUGCAACCCUUCCCAACCAAGUCCACCGAAAGUCCGUGAAGAAAGGCUUUGACUUUACCCUCAUGGUGGCAGGAGAGUCUGGCCUGGGCAAAUCCACACUUGUCAAUAGCCUCUUCCUCACUGAUCUGUACCGGGACCGGAAACUCCUUGGUGCUGAAGAGCGGAUCAUGCAAACUGUGGAGAUCACUAAGCAUGCAGUGGACAUAGAAGAGAAGGGUGUGAGGCUGCGGCUCACCAUUGUGGACACACCAGGUUUUGGGGAUGCAGUCAACAACACAGAGUGCUGGAAGCCUGUGGCAGAAUACAUUGAUCAGCAGUUUGAGCAGUAUUUCCGAGAUGAGAGUGGCCUGAACCGAAAGAACAUCCAAGACAACAGGGUGCACUGCUGCCUGUACUUCAUCUCACCCUUCGGCCAUGGGCUCCGGCCAUUGGAUGUUGAAUUCAUGAAGGCCCUGCAUCAGCGGGUCAACAUCGUGCCUAUCCUGGCUAAGGCAGACACACUGACACCUCCUGAAGUGGACCGCAAGAAGCGCAAAAUCCGGGAGGAGAUUGAGCAUUUUGGAAUCAAGAUCUAUCAGUUCCCAGACUGUGACUCUGAUGAGGAUGAGGACUUCAAAUUGCAGGACCAAGCCCUAAAGGAAAGCAUCCCAUUUGCAGUAAUUGGCAGCAACACUGUAGUAGAGGCCAGAGGGCGGCGAGUUCGGGGUCGACUCUACCCCUGGGGCAUCGUGGAAGUGGAAAACCCAGGGCACUGCGACUUUGUGAAGCUGAGGACAAUGCUGGUACGUACCCACAUGCAGGACCUGAAGGAUGUGACGCGGGAGACACACUAUGAGAACUACCGGGCACAGUGCAUCCAGAGCAUGACCCGCCUGGUGGUGAAGGAACGGAAUCGCAACAAACUGACUCGGGAAAGUGGUACCGACUUCCCCAUCCCUGCUGUCCCACCAGGGACAGAUCCAGAAACUGAGAAGCUUAUCCGAGAGAAAGAUGAGGAGCUGCGGCGGAUGCAGGAGAUGCUACACAAAAUACAAAAACAGAUGAAGGAGACCUAUUAACUGACUUUCAGCCCUGGAUAUUUAAAUCUCCUCCUCUUCUUCCUGUCCAUGCCGGCCCCUCCCAGCACCAGCUCUGCUCAGGCCCCUUCAGCUACUGCCACUUCGCCUUACAUCCCUGCUGACUGCCCGGAGACUCAGAGGAAAUAAAGUUUAAUAAAUCUGUAGGUGGC